GAUUGAAACCAGUGGUAAUCCAGCCAUCCACUUCAACACACACCCAAAUAUCAAUAAGGAGUUGUUUUCUAAUGAAAAUAUUCUAGGCCUCAAAGAACCUAGUAGGCCUUUUCCUGCUAAUCAAUCUGGUGAUGGAGUUAGUCUCUUGAGAUGGAGAAUGCAAAGUGCAGAUGAGUCGAUUUUACCUUUAACUAUUAACUGCUGGCCUUCAGUUUCU
rnacentral:misc_RNA from 1 species